ACGAACGCUGGCGGCGUGCUUAACACAUGCACGUCGAACGGAAAGGCCCUGCUUUUGUGGGGUGCUCGAGUGGCGAACGGGGGAGUAACACGUGAGUAACCUGCCCUUGACUUUGGGAUAACUUCAGGAAACUGGGGCUAAUACCGGAUAGGAGCUCCUGCUGCAUGGUGGGGGUUGGAAAGUUUCGGCGGUUGGGGAUGGACUCGCGGCUUAUCAGCUAGUUGGUGGGGUAGUGGCUUACCAAGGCUUUGACGGGUAGCCGGCCUGAGAGGGUGACCGGCCACAUUGGGACUGAGAUACGGCCCAGACUCCUACGGGAGGCAGCAGUGGGGAAUAUUGCACAAUGGGCGGAAGCCUGAUGCAGCAACGCCGCGUGCGGGAUGACGGCCUUCGGGUUGUAAACCGCUUUCGCCUGUGACGAAGCGUGAGUGACGGUAAUGGGUAAAGAAGCCCCGGCUAACUACGUG
rnacentral:rRNA from 1 species